rnacentral:misc_RNA from 1 species
GAUGAAGAACGCAGCGAAAUGCGAUAAGUAGUGUGAAUUGCAGAAUUCAGUGAAUCAUCGAAUCUUUGAACGCACAUUGCGCCCCUUGGUAUCCCGAGGGGCAUGCCUGUUCGAGCGUCAUUUCACCACUCAAGCCUGGCUUGGUGUUGGGCGACGUCCCCUUUGGGGACGCGCCUCGAAACGCUCGGCGGCGUGGCACCGGCUUUAAGCGUAGCAGAAUCUUUCGCUUUGGAAGUCGGGGCCCCGUCUGCCGGAAGACCUACUCGCAAGGUUGACCUCGGAUCAGGCAGGGAUACCCGCUGAACUUAAGCAUAUCAAAAAGCGGAGGA